UUAUUUAUUUGACUUGUUUGCAUCCCUGAACUAGAAUGUAAGCUCCAUGAGGGCAAGGCCUUCCUCUGUCUCGUUUCCCUGCUGUAUCCCCAGUGCCUGGAAUAGUGCUUGGUGUGUAGCAGGCACUCAAUAAACUGUGGAAAGGAUGAAGAUGCCCCCAGUUGGGGUUGGGGAGGGCGACCAGCUGGCCUGUGCCGUAGCCGGUCACAGCACAUCAUGCUCUGUUGCAGGUCACUGCAAGGGGAUGCUGCACCCCCUCAAGGUGAGGCCUCUCCCUCUGGGGCCCCUCCUUUCUGCCUGGUUGGGGGCAGGAGGCUCAGUGGGGUGGGGAUAGGGCCCAGACACAGCCUUACACAAACACAGCCUUUGAGCUUCACGCACCAACCGAGCCCUGGGCACACACGCCCGGCCGGCACAGUCCUGUCCACUGAGGCACCAACCCAAGCCCAGGCCUCCGACUGCAGAGUAACAGGCAGGUAUUCCGUGCAGGUGAAGAGCUGAUUGAGGCUGCCAAGAGGAACGACUUCUGUAAGGUACUAGCUCCAGGCUCCAGUUCCUUCCCCCAGCAGCUCCCUCGGGCCCUGGGGAGCGAGGCCUCUGGGUUGGGCCAAGAGCUGACCUGCUCAGGUGCUGUCAUCUGUCAUCGUCUGGCCCUCUGUGGGAUCUCCAGUGAUCGUCCCAUUCCACUUCACUGUAUCUCUGUCUAGGCCACAAUAGAUGGCUCCUAGUAGGGGCUUCCUAGCUCAGUCCACUUGUCCCUGGUGCUUAGAAAGGAGCAGGUCAGAGGAAGCACUGCUCCAGGGCUUGGUCACCAAUGCUGCCAGAGAGCCCACAGGCUGUGGGGUGAGAGGCCCACAGAGGCAACUCGGGAGUAAGAUGUGUGAGCGCACUCGUUUCAGGCCUGUGCUGGUGUACCCGGCUGUGGGCCAGCGUGUGAGCUCGGGGAAGGAGGGGUGGCCCCAGGAGGUCCAGCCCUGCCAUGCCUCCUGCCCUCAGCUCCAGGAGCUGCACCGAGCUGGGGGCGACCUCAUGCACCGAGACGAGCAGAGUCGCACGCUCCUGCACCACGCAGUCAGCACUGGCAGCAAGGAUGUGGUCCGCUACCUGCUGGACCACGCCCCCCCAGAGAUCCUUGAUGCGGUGGAGGAAAACGGGGAGACCUGUUUGCACCAAGCAGCGGCCCUGGGCCAGCGCACCAUCUGCCACUACAUCGUGGAGGCCGGGGCCUCGCUCAUGAAGACAGACCAGCAGGGCGACACUCCCCGGCAGCGGGCUGAGAAGGCUCAGGACACCGAGCUGGCCGCCUACCUGGAGAACCGGCAGCACUACCAGAUGAUCCAGCGGGAGGACCAGGAGACGGCUGUGUAGCGGGCCGCCCGCGGGCAGCAGGAGGGACAAUGCGGCCAGGGGACGAGCGCCUUCCUUGCCCACCUCACUGCCACAUUCCAGUGGGACAGCCACGGGGGGACCUAGGCCCCAGGGAAAGAGCCCCAUGCCGCCCCCUAAGGAGCCGCCCAGACCUAGGGCUGGACUCAGGAGCUGGGGGGCCUCACCUGUUCCCCUGAGGACCCCGCCGGACCCGGAGGCUCACAGGGAACAGGACACGGCUGGGUUGGAUAUGCCUUUGCGGGGGUUCUGGGGCAGGGCGCUCCCUGGCCGCAGCAGAUGCCCUCCCAGGAGUGGAGGGGCUGGAGAGAGGGAGGCCUUCGGGAAGAGGCUUCCUGGGCCCCCUGGUCUUCGGCUGGGUCCCCAGCCCCCGAUCCUGCCCCACCCCACCUCCCCCGGGCUUCCUCCCGGAAACUCAGCGCCUGCUGCACUUGCCUGCCCUGCCUUGCUUGGCACCCGCUCCGGCGACCUUCCCCGCUCCCCUGUCAUUUCCUCGCGGACUGUGCGGCCUGGGGGUGGGGGGCGGGACUCUCACGGUGACAUGUUUACAGCUGGGUGUGACUCAGUAAAGUGGAUUUUUUUUUC
rnacentral:sRNA from 1 species